rnacentral:snRNA from 1 species
AGCUUUGCGCAGUGGCAGUAUCAUAGCCAAUGAGGUUUAUCCGAGGCGCGAUUAUUGCUAAUUUGAAAAUAACAUAGCGGUUACAUUGCUGGACUCCCACAGGACCGACAGCAUGUCGGACCCAGUGGCUUGAAACGCACCUGGCACAUAUAUGUGC